rnacentral:rRNA from 1 species
AUUGAACGCUGGCGGCAUGCCUUACACAUGCAAGUCGAACGGUAACAGGUCUUCGGAUGCUGACGAGUGGCGAACGGGUGAGUAAUGCAUCGGAACGUGCCCAGUAGUGGGGGAUAGCCCGGCGAAAGCCGGAUUAAUACCGCAUACGACCUGAGGGGGACAGGGGGGGAUCGCAAGACCUCUCGCUAUUGGAGCGGCCGAUGUCAGAUUAGCUAGUUGGUGGGGUAAAGGCCUACCAAGGCAACGAUCUGUAGUUGGUCUGAGAGGACGACCAGCCACACUGGGACUGAGACACGGCCCAGACUCCUACGGGAGGCAGCAGUGGGGAAUUUUGGACAAUGGGCGCAAGCCUGAUCCAGCAAUGCCGCGUGCAGGAAGAAGGCCUUCGGGUUGUAAACUGCUUUUGUCAGGGAAGAAAUCUUCUGGGUUAAUACCUCGGGAGGAUGACGGUACCUGAAGAAUAAGCACCGGCUAACUACGUGCCAGCAGCCGCCGUAAUAC